rnacentral:rRNA from 1 species
GGAAGCAAAAGCACGUUGGAUACACUAGUCCCCCAUAAUUUACUGAAGUUGAGCAACAUUGCGUGUGGUUAGUAUCUGGAUGGGUGACCAUAUGCACACUCGCAUACUGCUAGCU